rnacentral:lncRNA from 1 species
AACCCUUAGUUCAAGGAGAUUAGCCCCAUUGGGAUAGCUUGAGCCGAUGCAACUAACCCCUAGAGUUUCUGAAUAGAAAUGUAGUUUUGUAAAACUUACAUUAACAAGUUUCUGUUUUUCCAAAACUAACUUGACCAUCCUUGCGAGCACCUAAUGAGACCCCAACCUAGAGAAUUUGGCCACCAACCAAACCCAUUUGAUGCCUAUAGCAUUCUAUCGAGCACCUUAAGGGCAUGGCCAGAAUUGACAUGGUUCUAAGAUUGCCUUAUGUACCUGCACCUGUAGCCAAACCAGCAUGUCCACUCAACCUAUCCGACCUACCCUAGCUAAUUUGUUAACUUGCAGCUCAAUCCAAGCCCUGUAGUAGACCCUCGCAUUUCAUCGAGCAGGUGCAGUG